GACGAACGCUGGCGGCGUGCUUAACACAUGCAAGUCGAACGGAAAGGCCCUGCUUUUGUGGGGUGCUCGAGUGGCGAACGGGUGAGUAACACGUGAGUAACCUGCCCUUGACUUUGGGAUAACUUCAGGAAACUGGGGAGAAUACCGGAUAGGAGCUCCUGCUGCAUGGUGGGGGAUGGAAAGUUUCGGCGGUUGGGGAUGGACUCGCGGCUUAUCAGCUUGUUGGUGGGGUAGUGGCUUACCAAGGCUUUGACGGGUAGCCGGCCUGAGAGGGUGACCGGCCACAUUGGGACUGAGAUACGGACCAGACUCCUACGGGAGGCAGCAGUGGGGAAUAUUGCACAAUGGGCGGAAGCCUGAUGCAGCAACGCCGCGUGCGGGAUGACGGCCUUCGGGUUGUAAACCGCUUUCGCCUGUGACGAAGCGUGAGUGACGGUAACGGGUAAAGAAGCACCGGCUAACUACGUG
rnacentral:rRNA from 1 species